GACGAACGCUGGCAGUGUGCUUUACACAUGCAAGUCGAGCGGAUUUCUCUGUUUGUAGCAAUACAAACGGAGGAAUCGAGCGGCAAACGGGUGAGUAAUGGAUAGGUAAUCUACCAUAAUGACUGGGAUACCCCCUUGAAAAAGGGAUCAAUACCAGAUAAUGUCAGUUUAAAUACUUUUAAGCUGAAGAAAGAUGGCCUAAAGCUAUCACAUUAUGACGAGCCUAUCUCCUAUCAGCUUGUUGGUGAGGUAAUGGCUCACCAAGGCUAUGACGGGUAGCUGGUCUGAGAGGAUGGUCAGCCACACUGGAACUUAGACACGGUCCAGACUCCUACGGGAGGCAGCAGUGGGAAUCUUGGCAAGUGGGCGAAAGCCUGACCCAGCGACACUGCGUGGGUGAUGAAGAUCUUUGGAUUGUAAAACCCUUUCCUGAAGAUGAAGGUAGAUUGAGAAUAUCCUUCCUACCCUGACAGUAUUCA
rnacentral:rRNA from 1 species